GUAGGUGGCAAGCGUUGUCCGGAAUUAUUGGGCGUAAAGCGCGCGCAGGUGGUUCUUUAAGUCUGAUGUGAAAGCCCCCGGCUCAACCGGGGAGGGUCAUUGGAAACUGGGGAACUUGAGUGCAGGAGAGGAAAGUGGAAUUCCACGUGUAGCGGUGAAAUGCGUAGAUAUGUGGAGGAACACCAGUGGCGAAGGCGACUUUCUGGCCUGUAACUGACACUGAGGCGCGAAAGCGUGGGGAGCAAUCAGGGAUUAGAUACCCUGGUAGUCCACGCCGUAAACGAUGAGUGCUAAGUGUUGGGGGGGUUUCCGCCCCCUCAGUGCUGCAGCUAACGCAUUAAGCACUCCGCCUGGGAGUACGGUCGCAAGACUG
rnacentral:rRNA from 1 species